rnacentral:rRNA from 1 species
ACUUAAAUUGAAGAGUUUGAUCAUGGCUCAGAUUGAACGCUGGCGGCAGGCCUAACACAUGCAAGUCGAGCGGUAGCACAGAGAGCUUGCUCUCGGGUGACGAGCGGCGGACGGGUGAGUAAUGUCUGGGAAACUGCCUGAUGGAGGGGGAUAACUACUGGAAACGGUAGCUAAUACCGCAUAAGUCGCAAGACCAAAGUGGGGGACCUUCGGGCCUCAUGCCAUCAGAUGUGCCCAGAUGGGAUUAGCUAGUAGGUGGGGUAACGGCUCACCUAGGCGACGAUCCCUAGCUGGUCUGAGAGGAUGACCAGCCACACUGGAACUGAGACACGGUCCAGACUCCUACGGGAGGCAGCAGUGGGGAAUAUUGCACAAUGGGCGCAAGCCUGAUGCAGCCAUGCCGCGUGUGUGAAGAAGGCCUUCGGGUUGUAAAGCACUUUCAGCGGGGAGGAAGGCGUAGGUUAAUAACCUCGAUUGACGUUACCCGCAGAAGAAGCACCGGCUAACUCCGUGCCAGCAGCCGCGGUAAUACGGAGGGUGCAAGCGUUAAUCGGAAUUACUGGGCGUAAAGCGCACGCAGGCGGUCUGUCAAGUCGGAUGUGAAAUCCCCGGGCUAACCUGGGAACUGCAUUCGAAACUGGCAGGCUAGAGUCUUGUAGAGGGGGGUAGAAUUCCAGGUGUAGCGGUGAAAUGCGUAGAGAUCUGGAGGAAUACCGGUGGCGAAGGCGGCCCCCUGGACAAAGACUGACGCUCAGGUGCGAAAGCGUGGGGAGCAAACAGGAUUAGAUACCCUGGUAGUCCACGCCGUAAACGAUGUCGAUUUGGAGGUUGUGCCCUUGAGGCGUGGCUUCCGGAGCUAACGCGUUAAAUCGACCGCCUGGGGAGUACGGCCGCAAGGUUAAAACUCAAAUGAAUUGACGGGGGCCCGCACAAGCGGUGGAGCAUGUGGUUUAAUUCGAUGCAACGCGAAGAACCUUACCUGGUCUUGACAUCCACAGAACUUCAGAGAUGUUGGUGCCUUCGGGAACUGUGAGACAGGUGCUGCAUGGCUGUCGUCAGCUCGUGUUGUGAAAUGUUGGGUUAAGUCCCGCAACGAGCGCAACCCUUAUCCUUUGUUGCCAGCGGUCCGGCCGGGAACUCAAAGGAGACUGCCAGUGAUAAACUGGAGGAAGGUGGGGAUGACGUCAAGUCAUCAUGGCCCUUACGACCAGGGCUACACACGUGCUACAAUGGCAUAUACAAAGAGAAGCGACCUCGCGAGAGCAAGCGGACCUCAUAAAGUAUGUCGUAGUCCGGAUUGGAGUCUGCAACUCGACUCCAUGAAGUCGGAAUCGCUAGUAAUCGUAGAUCAGAAUGCUACGGUGAAUACGUUCCCGGGCCUUGUACACACCGCCCGUCACACCAUGGGAGUGGGUUGCAAAAGAAGUAGGUAGCUUAACCUUCGGGAGGGCGCUUACCACUUUGUGAUUCAUGACUGGGGUGAAGUCGUAACAAGGUAACCGUAGGGGAACCUGCGGUUGGAUCACCUCCUUACCUUAAAGAA